rnacentral:rRNA from 1 species
UAUGGUAAUGGCCAGCCGCCGCGGUAAUACGUAUGGAGCAAGCGUUAUCCGGAUUUACUGGGUGUAAAGGGUGCGUAGGUGGCAGUGCAAGUCAGAUGUGAAAGGCCGGGGCUCAACCCCGGAGCUGCAUUUGAAACUGCAUAGCUAGAGUACAGGAGAGGCAGGCGGAAUUCCUAGUGUAGCGGUGAAAUGCGUAGAUAUUAGGAGGAACACCAGUGGCGAAGGCGGCCUGCUGGACUGUUACUGACACUGAGGCACGAAAGCGUGGGGAGCAAACAGG